UCCUACCCCUAACUCUUUCAUUGGGGUCCCUGUGUUUAGUCAAAUGGUUGGGUGCAAGCAUCCAUAUCUGUAUUGGUCAGGCUCUGGUAGAGCCUCUCAGGGGAUAGCUGUUAUUGUUUAAAUUUUGACCCACCUUCCAUGGUGUACACAUGGUCUCUGGAGAGCGUUCAUGAGCUUGGAGCUACCUGUGCUGCCCCUGGGAUGAAUCCUUUCACUGACCCUCAAACUAGGACCUUUCCUCUGUAGUGAUAGUUUUCCUCCCUCUCUUUUUGAGACAGUUUAAAAUGCCAGGCCAGGCCUGGAUAAACUGCUUUCUGGCUCAGGAGCACUGAUUCUAAAUCUAGCCCCACCACUGGUAGGGGCAAUUAAUCGCUAUUCUCACCAACAGGUCUAUCGGUCUUCAAUGCCUGUCCCCAUUUCCUGGGAAUAUUUUGAUCUAAUUUACACUAACCAGAAAACAAUAUCUCUGUCUGGCCCCACACCCAGGCCUCCCCCUUCUCCCCUCCUCUGCUGUAGCUCCUGGUUGGUGCCUGUGAAAAGCAGAUCUGGUCCUAGGUCUGGUCCCAUUCCAGGGGAACUCUGUCUGGGAGGCUUGCUUUCCCACAAGCGUGUGAUCCCUAAGAUCCUCCUACAAGAUAGCUCUCUCUCUCUUUCUGUCCCUAACAAUAGCUAUACUGAGCUUCUGUCAACAAGUUCUUCUUGGCAUCAGCAAUAGUGUCUGGGUUUGGUCUUUGCAGAUGGGAUGGAUCCCUAGGUGGGCCAGUCUCCGAAUGGCCUUUCCUUCAGUCUCUGCUCCACUCUUUGCCCCUACAUUUCCUUUAGCUGAGAAGCACUUAAAGAAAUCCUUUGUCAUCUGGGAAUAUAAAUGAAAAGGACUCUGAGAUUCAUUUUACACCCAUCAAAAUGACUAAACUCAAUAGACACCACAUACUGGAGAGGAAGUAGAGCAAGAAGAAGCUUCCUCCAUUGCAGAAAUCAACCUUGAGUUUUAAGGUAUUUUUCUGAAGAUUGCUAUCUUUAAAUAUCUGCUCAUCAUAUCAACCUGAGGUGAAGAAACAAAGGAAUCUUCAGGAAUAUUUACUGAAAUGUGUUAGGAUUGAGUGAGCUACUGAUACUCAGCGAGUGUUGGCCCUAACAUUAUACAAAGCACAGACUGUGUAUAAACAGAGAAUCUAAACUAAUAAAGAUCUUCCACUACUAA